rnacentral:rRNA from 1 species
AGUGAACGCUGGCGGCAGGCCUAACACAUGCAAGUCGAACGGCAGCACAGUAAGAGCUUGCUCUUACGGGUGGCGAGUGGCGGACGGGAGAGGAGUACAUCGGACUCUACUUUUUCGUGUGGGUUCACGUAGGGGAACCUACGCCAAUACCGCAUCCGCUCUACGGUUGAAAGCAGGGGAUCUUCGCACCUUGCGCGAAUGGAUGAGCCGAUGUCGGGGUAGCUAGUUGGCGGGGUAAAGGCCCACCUAGGCGGCGAUCCGUAGCCGGUCUGAGAGGAUGAUCGGCCACACUGGAGCUGAGACACGGUCCAGGCUCCUGCGAGAGGCAGCAGUGGGGAAUGGUAGACAGUGGGGGCGAACCUGGUACAGCCAUACCGCGUGGGUGAAGAAGACCUUCGGGUUGUGAAGCCCUCUUGUUGGGAGAGAAAAGCAGCAGGUUGAUACGCAGCUGUUGUGACGGUACCGGAUAAAUAAGCACCGGCUAACUACGUG